rnacentral:rRNA from 1 species
CCCAAACCGACACAGGUGGUCAGGUAGAGAAUACCAAGGCGCUUGAGAGAACUCGGGUGAAGGAACUAGGCAAAAUGGUGCCGUAACUUCGGGAGAAGGCACGCUGACACGUAGGUGAAGUGAUUUACUCAUGGAGCUGAAGUCAGUCGAAGAUACCAGCUGGCUGCAACUGUUUAUUAAAAACACAGCACUGUGCAAACACGAAAGUGGACGUAUACGGUGUGACGCCUGCCCGGUGCCGGAAGGUUAAUUGAUGGGGUCAGCGCAAGCGAAGCUCCUGAUCGAAGCCCCGGUAAACGGCGGCCGUAACUAUAACGGUCCUAAGGUAGCGAAAUUCCUUGUCGGGUAAGUUCCGACCUGCACGAAUGGCGUAAUGAUGGCCAGGCUGUCUCCACCCGAGACUCAGUGAAAUUGAACUCGCUGUGAAGAUGCAGUGUACCCGCGGCAAGACGGAAAGACCCCGUGAACCUUUACUAUAGCUUGACACUGAACAUUGAGCCUUGAUGUGUAGGAUAGGUGGGAGGCUUUGAAGUGUGGACGCCAGUCUGCAUGGAGCCGACCUUGAAAUACCACCCUUUAAUGUUUGAUGUUCUAACGUGGACCCGUAAUCCGGGUUGCGGACAGUGUCUGGUGGGUAGUUUGACUGGGGCGGUCUCCUCCUAAAGAGUAACGGAGGAGCACGAAGGUUGGCUAAUCCUGGUCGGACAUCAGGAGGUUAGUGCAAUGGCAUAAGCCAGCUUGACUGCGAGCGUGACGGCGCGAGCAGGUGCGAAAGCAGGUCAUAGUGAUCCGGUGGUUCUGAAUGGAAGGGCCAUCGCUCAACGGAUAAAAGGUACUCCGGGGAUAACAGGCUGAUACCGCCCAAGAGUUCAUAUCGACGGCGGUGUUUGGCACCUCGAUGUCGGCUCAUCACAUCCUGGGGCUGAAGUAGGUCCCAAGGGUAUGGCUGUUCGCCAUUUAAAGUGGUACGCGAGCUGGGUUUAGAACGUCGUGAGACAGUUCGGUCCCUAUCUGCCGUGGGCGCUGGAGAACUGAGGGGGGCUGCUCCUAGUACGAGAGGACCGGAGUGGACGCAUCACUGGUGUUCGGGUUGUCAUGCCAAUGGCACUGCCCGGUAGCUAAAUGCGGAAGAGAUAAGUGCUGAAAGCAUCUAAGCACGAAACUUGCCCCGAGAUGAGUUCUCCCUGAGACUUUAGGUCUCCUGAAGGAACGUUGAAGACGACGACGUUGAUAGGCCGGGUGUGUAAGCGCAGCGAUGCGUUGAGCUAACCGGUACUAAUGAACCGUGAGGCUUAACCUUACAACGCCGAAG